GUACUUGCUUUGGCAGUACAUAUACUAAAAUUGGAAUGAUACAGAGAUUAGCAUGGCCCCUGCGCAGGGUGAUGUGCAAAUUCGUGAAGCGUUCCAUUAAAAA